GUGACAUGACAAAUGAUCAACCUGGUAAUAUUUAACUUUCUUGGUCAUUUGAAGAUCCUAGUAUCUUUCUUCAUGACUGUGUUGCUUAGAUUCUUCGUAAUUUUUAAUACAUAGAUUUUCCAUUUAGUAUUCACAAGUAAAUUGGUUAAGUUACAUUCCUGCCUAUCAAGUUUGUCCAUAAUUUCAGGUUACUACGAUUUUUUUUUUCAGUGAAAAUUACACUCCCAUUCUACAUCUUGUUUCUAUUUUAACAAUCAAGUCCAAAUUCUGAGUAUGUGUUGAAAUUUCAUAUAAUUAGUAAUACCCAAAAUACACAACAAUUUUGUUGAAUUAGUUCCAAAUUUAUAAAUAAAAUUCUUCUCAUCACUAGUGUAGCCAUUUUCUAGCGAAUAGAAUGUGCAUUUCUUAACCUUAAUAUAAUAAUAAUGACAUUAAUUUUCCUUUAAGCGCAAUAAAGUCAUUAUGUUAAUUUUCAAUCACACAUUUAAAUAGAAUGAUAUGAUUUUAAUUUUUAUAAAACAUUUUCCUGAACCUGAGGGAUGGGUAUGUAAAUUUACCCAAGUGAAUUACUAGUACAUUACUACAUUCUUUACCAUCAUAAUUCAGUAGUCUAUCCUAAUGAGAUGAUGAGUAUGUUGAAACAUGAUAUUUGCCUACUUCACAAGUGGCUUUGAUAUCUUCAUACUAGAGAUAAAACCAUGGAGUUAUUAUCCCAGAUUCCAGUUGUGAAAUCAUGAUGGCCCAAGAAGUGAGUAGCAGAAGGAAUUUGUGGGGGAAUAUUGUGUUCUCAAACAUUUAGAAUGUCAUUGUUAUUAGAAAUUGUGAACUUCACCUUUGGAGGGUUUUAUUAAGCAGAUGUUGCAUGGCUCUUUUGAGCCAUUGCAUUGGUGCUCAUGUCUGCAAUGCUUUUUCUGCUCUGUCAAACUUUCUUAUGCCAAAUUGCAUAAAGUGUAAAAGUUAUGAAUGCUAUUAUUCUUACUUCCAUUCCACAAUGCUAAUGACUGUUGGUUGGAUAGUAAGCAAUGUAUCAAUAGAUGCUUGUUGAAAAUCAAUGGGUUUCUGAUUUACUUUUUAAUCUGACUGAUUUUAGGUGGCCCUAGCGUAUUAUCAUGUUUGAUAGAUACUAUUAAAAAUAGCAUCAUUCAAGUAUUUUUUCAAUUUCAGUUGUUUUUCCUAGAAUUCAUGUG
rnacentral:misc_RNA from 1 species